rnacentral:rRNA from 1 species
UACAGAGGGGGCAAGCGUUGUUCGGAAUUAUUGGGCGUAAAGGCGCGUAGAGCGGCUUUUCAAGUGACGGGUGAAAUCCCUCGGCUUAACCGAGGAACUGCCUGUCAGACUGGAAGGCUUGAGACCGGGAGAGGUGAGUGGAAUUCCCAGUGUAGCGGUGAAAUGCGUAGAUAUUGGGAGGAACACCAGUGGCGAAGGCGGCUCACUGGACCGGAACUGACGCUGAGGCGCGAAAGCGUGGGGAGCAAACAGG